rnacentral:rRNA from 1 species
AUGGCGUUGGCGCAGCUGCAGGCGCAGGCGCGGUUCGUGGGGGUGGCUGCCACGAACGCCGGCGUGGAGCUGGAGCUGGACGACCACCAGUCGCGGUGGGUGAGCCAGGUGCGGCGGCGGAUGGAGGCCGGGGCGGAGGAGCUGGGCGCCGUGGCCAAGGUCUUCGACGUGCCGCGGCUGCUGCGGGCGACCAAGCCCGAGGCGUACUCGCCGCAGCACUUCGCCCUGGGGCCCUACCACUACCAGCGGACUGAGCUCAGGGACAUGGAGCGCUACAAGCUCGCCGCAGCCAAGCGCGCCGGGAAGCUCUUCACCGGCGACCGCAGGUUCGACGACCUCGUGCAAAAGUUUGUCAAGAUGCAGGAGAUGAUCCGGACCCCCUACAACAGGUUCCUUGAGUUGAAUGGGCAGACGCUGGCAUGGAUGAUGGCCAUCGACACGUGCUUCCUCCUCGACUUCCUCGAGAGCUACCACGUCGACGGGGCCACCGACAUGGUGUCCUCCGCCACCAACUGGAUCAACGCCAUGGUGCGCGACGCCAUGAUGCUCGAGAACCAGAUCCCGCUCUUCCUCUUCGCGGGCGCGCUCCAGCUCUGCCACGCCUCCGAGGAGGCCGCCGCCGACGCCAUGCACGCCGUCCUGGACCGCUUCAUCAGGGAGGUGUGCCCCAUCAAGACCACCGCGCUUGCCAUCGCCGGCGACAUCGCCAAGCACGCGCACCUGCUGGAGCUCCUCUACCACUUUCUCGUGCCCGCCUCGGCCGUCUUCGCGGAGGACGCCGCGGAGCUCCCGCCGCUGGUCCCAGAGGAGGUUCUCUCCCUCGACGCGCUCGAGCAGCAGAUUCCGGACUACGACAAGGUGAAGCAGGCGUGCAUGCAGGUGUCCAGCUUCGACGUGGUGCCUGUGCGGUUCAUCAAGAAGAACCUCAUCUCCAAGCCGAUGAGCGCGGCUUCGAGCCUCCCGGGGAUGAUCAUGCGCAAGGUGCCGCUGCUGUCGGCGAUGGCGCCGCUGCUCGGGAAGUUCAUGGCUUCGACGGACGUCGAGGCGCGGCUCAAGGGCGUGAACUUGUCCACCAUAAUCAACUCGCCGCUGGCGCAGGAGAUCAUGAUCCCGUCGGUGGCGCAGCUGGCCGCGUGCGGCGUGCGGUUCAUGCCGGCUCCAGAGGGCAUGGCAGGGAUCGGCUUCGACGCGGCCACGGCGACGCUGACCCUGCCGGUCCUCCACCUCGACAGCAACACGGAGGUGAUCCUCCGCAACCUGGUGGCAUACGAGACGGCCGCCGUGCGCGGGCCGCUCGUGCUGGCGCGGUACACGGAGCUGAUGAACGGCAUCAUCGACACCCCCAAGGACGUGAAGAUCUUGAGAGAGUGUGGGAUCAUCUUCAACACCAUGAAGAGCGACAAGGAGGCCGCGGACAUGUGGAACGGGAUGUGCCGGGCAGUGCGGCCGAGCAAGGUGCCGCUGCUGGACGGCGUGAUCAGGGACGUCAACGCGCACCGGAACCGGAGGGCGGCCGUGAAAGCGAGAAGGUUUCUCAAGCGCUACGUGUUCAGGUCGUGGAGGCUGCUCACGCUGCUCGCCGCCGUCGUGCUGCUGCUCAUGACGGCGCUGCAGACAUUCUGCACCGUCUACGACUGCAAGCGCUGGUUCGGCGGCAUACUGGAACUGCCGCAGAUAACGCCCGGAGGAGGGCAGUAG